CCUACGGGAGGCAGCAGUAGGGAAUCUUCCACAAUGGGCGAAAGCCUGAUGGAGCAACGCCGCGUGAGUGAUGAAGGCCUUCGGGUUGUAAAACUCUGUCAUUCGGGACGAACCGGAGUCUGAGGAAAUGCAGACUCUCUGACGGUACCGGAGGAGGAAGCCCCGGCUAACUACGUGCCAGCAGCCGCGGUAAUACGUAGGGGGCAAGCGUUGUCCGGAUUCACUGGGCGUAAAGCGCGCGCAGGCGGUGAUGUAAGUCUGAGGUGAAAACCCGAAGCUCAACUUCGGGACUGCCUUGGAUACUGCGUCACUUGAGGAUAGGAGAGGCAAGGGGAAUUCCACGUGUAGCGGUGAAAUGCGUAGAGAUGUGGAGGAACACCUGUGGCGAAGGCGCCUUGCUGGCCUAUUUCUGACGCUGAGGCGCGAAAGCGUGGGGAGCAAACAGGAUUAGAUACCCUGGUAGUCCACGCUGUAAACGAUGAGUGCUAGGUGUAGGUGGGCUCAUACCCAUCUGUGCCGAAGCUAACGCAUUAAGCACNCCGCCGNGGAGGUACGGUCGCGAGACGUAGAACGUACAAGUAGAAGUUAGACGGCGNGAGGACGNGCGACGGACGACGACGAGGGAGAGG
rnacentral:rRNA from 1 species